rnacentral:rRNA from 1 species
CCUACGGGAGGCAGCAGUGAGGAAUAUUGGUCAAUGGACGCAAGUCUGAACCAGCCAUGCCGCGUGCAGGAAGACGGCUCUAUGAGUUGUAAACUGCUUUUGUACUAGGGUAAUUUGCGGUACGUGUACCGUAUUGAAAGUAUAGUACGAAUAAGGAUCGGCUAACUCCGUGCCAGCAGCCGCGGUAAUACGGAGGAUCCGAGCGUUAUCCGGAUUUAUUGGGUUUAAAGGGAGCGUAGGCGGAUUGUUAAGUCAGUUGUGAAAGUUUGCGGCUCAACCGUAAAAUUGCAGUUGAUACUGGCAGUCUUGAGUGCAGUAGAGGUAGGCGGAAUUCCCGGUGUAGCGGUGGAAUGCGUAGAUAUCGGGAGGAACACCAGUGGCGAAGGCGGCCUACUGGGCACCAACUGACGCUGAGGCUCGAAAG